rnacentral:rRNA from 1 species
UACGAGGGGGGCAAGCGUUGUUCGGAAUUAUUGGGCGUAAAGGGCGCGUAGGCGGUGCGGUAAGUCACCUGUGAAAACUCUGGGCUCAACUCAGAGCCUGCAGGCGAAACUGCCGUGCUUGAGUGUGGGAGAGGUGCGUGGAAUUCCCGGUGUAGCGGUGAAAUGCGUAGAUAUUGGGAAGAACACCGGUGGCGAAGGCGCUCUACUGGGCCAUAACUGACACUGAUGGACGAAAGCUAGGGGAGCGAAAGGG